rnacentral:rRNA from 1 species
CCUACGGGUGGCAGCAGUGAGGAAUAUUGGUCAAUGGACGAGAGUCUGAACCAGCCAAGUAGCGUGAGGGAUAACUGCCCUAUGGGUUGUAAACUUCUUUUAUAUGGGAAUAAAACGUUCCACGUGUGGGAUUUUGUAUGUACCAUAUGAAUAAGGAUCGGCUAACUCCGUGCCAGCAGCCGCGGUAAUACGGAGGAUCCGAGCGUUAUCCGGAUUUAUUGGGUUUAAAGGGAGCGUAGGUGGAUUGUUAAGUCAGUUGUGAAAGUUUGUGGCUCAACCGUAAAAUUGCAGUUGAAACUGGCAGUCUUGAGUAUAGUAGAGGUGGGCGGAAUGCGUGGUGUAGCGGUGAAAUGCUUAGAUAUCACGAAGAACUCCGAUUGCGAAGGCAGUUCACUGGACUGUAACUGACACUGAGGCUCGAAAGUGUGGGUAUCAAACAGGAUUAGAUACCCGAGUAGUC